GACUCUUCAAACCAAACCUUCAAAGACUCUGAAGGAGCAGAGGGGACACAAUGGAUCAUUAACAGACAGGAUGAGGUCAGAGAACAAGACAUUGGCCACUUACUCCUUGUGAUGGUACUGAACAAGCAGAGAAGGCAGAAUCCCUCCCACUAUGGAUUUCUCACUCCUGUGAACAAAUGUCCACCCCCUUCCCAACUGCAAGAGGGAUGUCGGAUUUAAUCCUCAGGCUUGUUCCAUCUUGGUUUCAAGACAGUUGUAGCAACUCCAGCCAUUGCAUCUUUCCCAGCUGGGUCAGAUUUGAUCAUUUAUAGAUUCUGUAACAAUUAACACAGACUUGGUACUUAGAACAACAAGGGACUUAUUCUCCAAGAGGCUGAAGUCAGCGUCACUGAGGUGAAAUAAAGGUGUUGAUGGGGUUCUACACCCACUG
rnacentral:lncRNA from 1 species